UGAUUCCGGCUGCUCGAUGGACCAGUUUUUCAACAUGUGCCACAGACUGCAGUCCUUGGCAUGUCUGCAUUUUGUGAGAUGACCUUGGAGAGCGAGUGAGGAGUGUUUGCUUUUGGAAGGCAGGUGUCUGUCAUUCAGUGGUGCGAUAAUCCCACUGGAAACCACAUCUAUUUAUACCUCCUCCCUCCUCUCAACUGCGUUUAGUGCUUGUGGCUCCACAGUCUGAGCAGCAGCAUGGAAACAUCCUGAUCUCAACUAACGUGAUUCAGGAGAUUUGACUGUUCACGUUUAAAGAACAGGAGCAACAACCAUCAACUGGAUAACAGCUUUGGACAAACUGGGAACCAGACUCCAACUGGACUUUUAGCUUUAAAUCAAGAACUUAACUAAACUUCUGCAGAACAUGUGAAGCCACCAACAAUGGUGAUACAAGAAUACAUGGGGAAAAGUGGUUUGAUAAGGAAAACAGUCUCGGAAAUAUGAGAAAAUUGUUGACAUCAGCCCAGAGAUGAUUGCUUUGGAAAUUAGAAAUAGGAGACAAUCUUCAGUGUACUAACAUUUAAGCUUUUUUAUGAUGCCUGGAGAGACUGAGGAAACUGUGACAUGUGGGCAACAAAAGUUGGGAAGGAUGGUCAUCGGAGGAAGAGGAGAAUGGGAGGGGAACAUGAAGCGUUCUCUGUCUUUCACCACCCUCAGCACUAUUGCCAUCCAGGCUGGCCAGUCAC